AUACGAUAAAUAUUUGUAUGUACACAAUUUUUUGUUGCAGUCUACGAGCGUAUCGCAAGAUUGAUAGUGACCGCGUGUUGUUGCCGUUGGCUGUGUGCAGUGCCGUGCACAUCCAGUUCCAUUUCGGUCACCGAAUGAAUCGCGCGUGUUCAUUCCGAUAAAUUCUGUCUCUUCAGAUUAUAAUUAAGUGAAUUUAUAUUCAUUAAACAUUCGCGGACAUAUCUGACAUAUCGAUCGUGAGCUGCGGCGUGGUGCAUUAUCGCAUUUCUUGUGAUUUUAAGUCCGUACUUGAAUUAGAAACGGUCAACAAAGAAAAGAUUUAGAAUUACCAGACAAGUGCGGCGUAUAGUUAUUGAGAUAUCGUUUAACGUUUUAACGAGACCUUACGGAUAUCUUGGACCAGGUGUGCAUUCCAUGUUUCUUCCAGAAGGAUUCAAUAGAAAAUGGUAAUUUCCGGUAAAGCAAGAAACAUCUUCAUCGAUUUCAAUGAUUCUAUCAAAUUUUGACUGGCCAAGAGAUUUACCUUUUUUACUGGGGAAUUCCAUGGAUUUGGACACAGCAUCAACAUCUUACAUUUUGUGAUACACAGAGCCCAGAAGACUGGGUGAAGAAGAAGAAUGAACACUUUCAAGCGUCCAUAAUUUUUUCUGCUUUUAAUAUAAUUGGACAAAAAAAAACAGGGCAAAGCUUGGGUUUCAAAUUGAAUUUGGCUAAAAAAGAGAGUGCAGAACUAAUGUUAUAAACUUAUUACACUUGCUAAAGGCAACACAAGACUAUUUUAUUGAGCAAAUCAGUAAAAAUAUUUUAAAUGCUCCGCCAAGGUGGUAAUUUAUAGACAAUUUGUUAAGUGAUAGUUCUCAUGUUGUGAAGCACUUGAUAAGCUGCUUGCUAUUAAUUUAGUUACAAGUCACAUUGUAUUGCUGAAGCAAUAGAAGUUUGCUACAUAUGUUAAAUGUUAUUUGUCACAUAAA